rnacentral:siRNA from 1 species
UAAAACUUUUCAGAUACUUUUCA